CCGCGGUAAUACGAGGGGUGCUAGCGUUGUCCGGAAUCACUGGGCGUAAAGGGUACGUAGGCGUCCUGAUAAGCAUUGAUUGAAAUCCUUCGGCUUAACCGGAGAACUGGUCAGUGAACUGUCAGGAUAGAGUUUGGUAGAGGAAAGCGGAAUUCCCGGUGUAGCGGUGAAAUGCGUAGAUAUCGGGAGGAACAUCGACGGCGAAGGCAGCUUUCUGGGCCAAUACUGACGCUGAGGUACGAAAGCGUGGGUAGCGAACAGG
rnacentral:rRNA from 1 species